GGCAUCGUCGUGAGGAUAUGAUAUUCCUUCCAUAUCUCUUGCUCCAAAAGUGAUGUCUUUGACUUCAUCACGGGAUUCCAUUGGGGUAUGAGCAUGUUGGCGGGCUUACUGCUUUCGCCCACUAUUUGUGUCUCCUCCAGAUGUUAUGCCCCCGACGAUAAUAUUAAUUGUCCCGGUAGUGGGAUGAGCAUUGCUUCCGGUUCCAAGCUCUUUCCGAUUGUCAUGAUCAUUCCUCGGGCAUUUAUCAUGUCCAAUGUAAUUCCUUAAGAAUCCUCUUUUAAUGAGAGCUUCGAUCUCCCGCUGUAAA
rnacentral:lncRNA from 1 species